AUUUAAUGUCUUGCUGUGUAGCUCUGUCUGCUCACUGUACAUCAUGGCUAAUUUUUAUUUGGUGUGCAUUGGAAGAGGGGUAGUCUUAUACGGCGAGUAUAUCCCAAACUCUAUAUUUCAACUGGAAAAGUUGGGGGUCGUCUUAUACGCCGGAAAAUACGGUAAAUAAAAAAUGUGGAGCAUACCAUGUCAUUUAUCUGUACAGCAUCUGUCAUGUCAUCGCUAUUGUCUUAA